rnacentral:lncRNA from 1 species
GCCUGCCGCGUCACUGCUGCCGAGGGCCGCGCGGCUCCUCCUGGUUUUGUCCCUGGCUGUGGGACCCAGUGCUGCCCCGAGUCGCAGGCACAUCUGCUGCAGGGGUGUCAGCGCCGCCCGCGGCUGCCUGUGCCUGGGUGCGGGGCUGUGGCGCGCACGUCCCUGGAACUUUGCGGGGCCCCAGAGGCGCGCCCUCGCCUCGGCCUCCGCCUCUGGGGACUGACGCGACGCCUCCUUUCACCAUCUGUGGACGGUCACAUCUCCUCUGCUGUGAAGUGCCUGUUCACGUGUCUCCCAAUUUUGGAUUACAUUCUGGAUAUUAGCCUUCCGUUCUGUGUGUCCCACUGUCUUCUCCCACUUGGUGGCUUAUUUUUCUCACUUACUUUAUGGUGUCUUUGGUUGAAUAGAAGUUCUUAAUUUUAAUAUAUAGAAAUUUAUCAAUCUUUUCUGAAUAGUGCUUUUUGUGUCUUGCUAAACAAAUCCUUCCCAAAGGUCAUGAUGUUAUUUUCCUGUAUUGUCUUCUAAAACCUUUACAAUUUUCUUUCAUAUUUAGGUCUCUAAACCUUCCAGGAAUUGGUUUUUCCAGAUGACAUAAAAAUAGGAGUUAAGUUAAAUUUUUCCAUUUGAAUACCCUGUUGUUUUCAGCAUCACACAUUAAGGAGUGCAUUCUUUCCCUCUGAUCCACAGCGCGACCUCUGUGUGUCCCCCCUGGUUGUUUGUGGGGUUUUCCUUCAGCGCUGGUCUUUGUGCCCACGCGGCUCUGUCUUCAUCUCUCUGGUGCAUAAGGAGACUUGGCAUCAGGAAGGCAAAUCCUUCCACCACGGCCUAUUGGGAAUAUCCUGCUGCUUGUGGCUCUCUGCACGUCUCUGUUAAUUUCGAGUCAGCUUAUUCAGUUUACACGCCACAAUCAAAACUGCUGGGCUUUUCAUUAAAAUUGUUCCUGUUCUACAAAUUAGGAACCCUGACGGGUGUGUCAUGGCUCCCAGCAACUGCCCAUUCAGGCAACCGUCUGCUUCUGUGAGCCAGCAUCGCGACACCCCUGAGUAGUCACAAGUGACCUGAAUUAUCUCAUUACAUCAAGACACCAGAUCUGCAUGUGACAAAAUGUUUACAAAAAGCAACUGCAGGGUGGGAGGUUGUGUUUUCUACAGAGGGAGAUCUCAAUCCUGAUUAAGAAAAAUGUAGAGAAAUGAUAAAAUAAACACUUGAACAUUUUGGUACCUCUCUGGGCUAGGGCUGAACCUUGGUGCUGGUCCGAAUCACUCCAGAGCGGGGGAGCCCUCCUGGAAUGCCGCCAAGAAUUGAAGAAGGGCUCUUUAGAGAACUCACGAAAUGCUAAAAUAUUUCAUUCUGUCCUCAGUUUAAUUCUCUCAUGUAAGCUUGGAGCAGUUUUUAGUAAAAGAAGAAAUCUGACUGUCUGAAAUCUAAGACCAAAACUCAGCUUCAAGUGACAUGACUGCAGGUUCGGAAGGAAAUCAUUGUUCAGCACGAAAGUCAAAUAACCAGGCCCCUCAGGAUUCCAGGGGAGCGCACUUUGAGAAUUGCUCUUUUGUGUCAUCUGGCCAUUGUUUUGUUUUGUUUUUGCGUUAAGAACUCAGAAGGACAAAAUCUCUUUCUGUGCAUAUAUUCAUUUGAAUUCUACUUUUGACCCUUUUUGUCGAAGGUUGCAGAACUCCCUCAAGUCUCCCAGAGCGAGUGCCUAUGGCCAGCAUCCGGCAGGUCGCCUCUGCCUCACAGCAGCUGGGACCUGGAGACACACAGGCAUCCGGGAAGUUCUCUCGUGGACUUUUCAGGGAACUUCACAUUCUCAGGCUCUCUCCAUGGACUGUGACCCUCACCCAGGCGACAGCAGCUGGGCAGCUGGUCUAGAUGAUCCCCACAGGGACCGUGACAGCGCCGGUGGCCCAGCAGAAACUCCUGCAGCAGCGGGCUGUGAGGACAGCAGCGGCAGCCCACUGCAGGCGUCUAGUGUCCCACCAGUGCAGAGCAACAGUGCUGGGUCUUGAAAGCCAGUUAGGACUUCUCUGUUAGUGUACAGGGUUUUGCACAUCACAGGAGCCCUUUGGCGGUGCAGUGAAUCAUAAAACAGACUUUAUGAAGCUAGAACAUGGUCUUUGACAGAACCUGCGUCUGCUUGGCUCUUUAUACCUGACUGGAAAGGCAUCAUGGUCCUGAGACAGGAGAGAGACGGACUAUGGUAGAUCAUUUCAGGUCAGAGGAAGCCAGUGUGGUUUUUCCCUUCCCUCCUAAAAUGUGACUUGUUUGAACUUUGAAAGAAAAUGUUUAGUACUGACGCCCACCGAAGCACAUUCACGAUGUGUUCUCGGCUUGUGUCGAGGGGAAAUAAUCUGUGAUUGAGUUUUCAUCCCAAAGAGCAGCCAGUGUGGCUUCCCCAGAGCCUCCCCCGUGUGACUUGCUUCCAUGGAAACACAGCCUUCGGGACUGCUCCUCUUCCCAGCACAUCCGCGGUAUUUCCCAGCUUUUGGAUGAAGCUCGUGUUUGGACUCAGUGCACUGAAGCAGCUCCGGUGAACGUGCCGGCUGAGACCACCAACUCAUCAACCAGGCCCGCAGAGAUGUCGGAUAGGCGAUCUUUUGACGUCAAGAGGCUAAAAACUCCACCCUCUGAUCAUGCUAACGCCGACAUUUUGUGAACAUGGGUCCUAUGAAGAGGCAUGGAGUCUGACUACGCUUGCGCAGCUCAUCAUUACCUCACCUCUCCUCCCCUCCAAUCACCUCUCUCCACACUUCAGACCACCUUGCCCCCAUCCCAUAAAUAUCCCUGAGUCCCUAUUUUCAGGGAAGUGGAUUUGAGGCUCAUGCUCUCGCUUCCUCCCAUGGCUGCCUUGUGAGUAAACCCUCACUCUGCUGCGAUCUGGUCAUCUCGGUGUUUGGCUUUCUGGGCAGUGGGCAAAAACGAACCUGGUUUGGUGACAGUAUCACUCGAUUUAGCAACAUCUAGUUGUCACCACUGUCUUUAAUAGAGUCAUUUAAGUAAAAAUUCUCCUUCAGGGAUAGUGUUUUUUGGUUUUCUGUUUUAAAGGUUAAACUUUUCAUAUUUGAGAAAAUGUGUGUAGGUAAUUGUCAUCCAAGCCUUCUCAGAUCGUCAUUGUUAGCAGAAUCCUGUAUGACUUUGUGAACCAGGGGUCCUACCAGCACAGUAUGUAAUGAUUGAAAGAAAUCUUAGAACAGAAAUAGAGACAGCAGCCAGAACACUAUCAAGCUCCAAUUGGCCACCACGGAAAGCAGUUGUCCUUUAAAUCAGAGACAUCUGUUCUGUUAAGGCCAGGCUGUUUCUCAAGCCUCCCCCGGGCAGCAGGAGGUCAGAUCUGAGCGCUCCUUCAGAUUUGCUGCCUAGUGAGGCAGAGGCAUUCCUUUUUGCAGUGUUUGUGAUUUUUUGUUAACUGUUGUAACCAGAGAGCUGUUGUGUUUUAAAAUACCAAGGAAGAAGACUGAAAUUGUAAAUACUUUGUAAACAUAAUCCUUUGUACUUGAAUAGUAGCAUUUUAAAGGGUGUUGAUAGCUCACCAAACAAAAAGUAUAAUAAAUGGCACAGCUGUUAAGUUUGCAUGUUCCGCUUCAGCUUCAGCGGCCGGGGGUUCGCUGGUUCAGAUCCAGUGUGUGGACCUAGACACCGCUUGGCAAGCCAUGCUGUGGCAGGAGUCCCACAUAUAAAGUAGAGGACGAUGAGCAUGGAUGUUAGCUCAGGGCCAGUCUUCCUCAGCAAAAAAGAGGAGGAUUGGUGGCAGAUGUUAGCUCAGGG